rnacentral:lncRNA from 1 species
GAUGGAGGGAGUAGUUUGAUUAAGAUCCUACAGAUUAUGUUGUGUCAAUGGAAGAAUGCGAAAUUUUUCAGGUACAUGCCAUUCAGUAACUCCCAUUAGAAUUCAUAAAACAUUCAGACAUAAGUGUAUGGUGAAAAUCUUCGUAUGAACUUGUAGCUCUGGGAUUUUUGGAUAACUUGUAGCUCUUGGUGAGAUCGACAACGUUGUAGCUGGAAACCUUUACAAUAGAACUCAUUAGAUUUCUCAAAUAUUG